AUAAAAUCGAAUGUUAUACCGUAGACAGCAGGGGCUCUUUAGAGCUUAAUCAGCCUGCCGAGGUGUUUAUUUAUAGAAAGGCAAACCGUUUUGCCAAUCUAAGUAAGCUCUCAUGUCUGCAUGGGAGCUUUUUUAAUAGAAAA
rnacentral:sRNA from 1 species